ACGACCUUACUCGAACAGGAUCUGUUCUAUAGGCUUGUACCGCUGCAUCUUUUACCAAUAAGGAGGCAAGCACUUCACUCUGGUUGAUGCAUUCUGACCUCUGGGCCAGAGCGUGAUUAACGGCUUGGAUUAACCUGAUGGGUGUCCUCUGAUGGCUGUAGAGGAUCGUUCCUGCCCAGUUCACAUUGGUGCAGGGUGGCUUAGAGGUUGUCUGACAGACU
rfam:Triticum aestivum genome assembly, contig: Triticum_aestivum_CS42_TGACv1_scaffold_513909_6BS